rnacentral:rRNA from 1 species
AACGAAAGAUGGAGGCAUGCCUAACACAUGCAAGUCGAACGAGACCUUCGGGUCUAGUGGCGCACGGGUGCGUAACGCGUGGGAACCUGCCCUUAGGUUCGGAAUAACUCCCCGAAAGGGGUGCUAAUACCGGAUAAUGUCUUCGGACCAAAGAUUUAUCGCCUUUGGAUGGGCCCGCGUUGGAUUAGCUAGUUGGUAGGGUAAAAGCCUACCAAGGCGACGAUCCAUAGCUGGUCUGAGAGGAUGAUCAGCCACACUGGGACUGAGACACGGCCCAGACUCCUACGGGAAGCAGCAGUGGGGAAUAUUGGACAAUGGGCGAAAGCCUGAUCCAGCAAUGCCGCGUGAGUGAUGAAGGCCUUAGGGUUGUAAAGCUCUUUUACCCGGGAUGAUAAUGACAGUACCGGGAGAAUAAGCUCCGGCUAACUCCGUG